GACCCUCUUCCCAGAGGCUAUGCUCCUCAGCAGUCUCUCACUGGAGAGGAGCCAUCUUUCACACCAGCCAGGAGGUUACUGGGAAGAUGGAUGCUGUAAGUGCAUCUGAUCUGGGAGCUCAGGAAUCGCCUGCGAGCUACCUUGAACUGGAAAUAACUGGAAAAUUCGUUAUACUUCAACUGAUCAGGAUUCAAGACACUUGAUUCUUAACAGUUUGUGUAGGAUCAAAGAUAUGGCUGUUCUCCAAGAAACCUGGGAUGUUUACAUCAAA